rnacentral:lncRNA from 1 species
AUAACUUAUGUCCUCUUCUUUUUUUCCUUUUUUUUCUAUUUGUUUUGAUCUUGUAAAUAGCACUACAACAAAAACGGUCUAUAGCGACACUUUUAAAUGUCGGUAUAGAUAAAAAAAAGUGCUGCUGGCUAAAUUAUCGACACUUUUAAAAAAUGUUGUUAUAUGUGGGGUCGCUAGGUAUAUAGCGACAGUUAAAGAGUGUCGCUAUAACCUAAAAAGAGUGCUACUAAUUUACCAGCACUUGUUUAAGCAUUUAGUAACUGCCGAAACUCUAUCUCGUUGGCUGCGGUGGCGGAGGAGGACGAGAGGGAAGGGCUCUUCGUCUAGGAUUUCAGUGGAUUGAGUGAGGGGAGAAGGGGAAAUGGUAAUUGAUUUUUCUUUUUUUUUUUCUAUUUGUAAUCGGGCCGAAUGGGCUGGGUGGGGUAGGUUGAGUAAAAUAACCUUUUCUUUUUGGUUGGAUUGGACUUUAUAUUUAGGCAUUAGUAGAUAUUUUUGUAAGUUUUGGCAUAAAUAGGACACUUACACAAAAGUGUCCCAAAUAUGUGUCCCUAUCUGUUGUAGUGUAUAGAAGUGAUUUUAAUUAGUUAUUCUAUUUAUGUCUAUGGUAAGAUAAUUGCUAAAAAUAUGAGGUUUAAUGAAUAUUUUAGCUGGAUUAUUGUCACGCCCCGGGGUCCCUUUUUAGUUUGGAAAAACAGCGGAAACGACUAACUUUUUUUUUUUGAAACACCUGACCCCAGAGUAUGUCAGAGUCGCCACAAAUACAGGGAAUCCACUGUUCACACGGACAGUCUCCCCUGUAUUUGCACGACGUCGCACAAGUACAAUUAUACAACCAGAGUACAACCAGAAUACAACCACAACCAUAUGAACAUACAACCUCAACUGCACAUACAGACGUCCAUACAUUCACCAUUCACAACACGGCGGUAUUCAUAGUUUUAAACAUAAAUCCAGAUCUAUCAUUUGAAACGUUUCCUACCCGGAAACAAGUUUUGAAAUACUAAGUCUCAGAAAUCCAUUGGAAGCUUCUUUUAAGACUGUUUCCCACACGGAAAUCUUUAUCUUUUAAAACACUACCACGAGGGGUAGAAAACCAUUGAAAACUGUAUCGAAUAUGAAAACUCUUUUCUUUUUAAAACAAGCGCUACCACGAGGGGUAGAAAACCAUUUUACUUUGAAAAGCCCAUAAAUCUCUUUUUAUCACAAUACG